AUUGAACUCUGGCGGCAGGCCUAACACAUGCAAGUCGAGCGAGCGGCGGACGGGGGAGUCAUGUCUGGGAAACUGCCUGAUGGAGGGGGAUAACUACUGGAAACGGUAGCUAAUACCGCAUACCCUCAGAUGUGCCCAGAUGGGAGUAGCUGGUAGGUGGGGUAACGGAUCACCGAGGCGACGAUCCCGAGCUGGGCUGAGAGGAUGACCAGCCACACUGGAACUGAGACACGGUCCAGACUCCUACGGGAGGCAGCAGUGGGGAAUAUUGCACAAUGGGCGCAAGCCUGAUGCAGACAUGCCGCGUGUGUGAAGAAGGCCUUCGGGUUGUAAAGCACUUUCAGCGGGGAGGCGUUACCCGCAGAAGAAGCACCGGCUAAGUCUGUGCCAGCAGCCGAGGUAAUAC
rnacentral:rRNA from 1 species